rnacentral:rRNA from 1 species
UUCCUAGGGGSAGCAGKGGGGAUAYAAUGGGCGCAAGCCUGAAUCCAGCCAUGCCGCGUGCGGGAAGAAGGCCUUCGGGUUGUAAACCGCUUUUGUCAGGGAAGAAACGGCUUGAUCUAAUAAAUCGAGCUAAUGACGGUACCUGAAGAAUAAGCACCGGCUAACUACGUGCCAGCAGCCGCGGUAAUACGUAGGGUGCAAGCGUUAAUCGGAAUUACUGGGCGUAAAGCGUGCGCAGGCGGCUAUGCAAGACAGAUGUGAAAUCCCCGGGCUCAACCUGGGAACUGCAUUUGUGACUGCAUGGCUAGAGUACGGCAGAGGGGGAUGGAAUUCCGCGUGUAGCAGUGAAAUGCGUAGAUAUGCGGAGGAACACCGAUGGCGAAGGCAAUCCCCUGGGCCUGUACUGACGCCUUCAUGCACGAAAGCGUGGAGCAAACAGGAUUAGAUACCCUCUAGUCA